AGGCAGCAAUUGGGAAUUUUGCACAAUGGACGAAAGUCUGAUGCAGCGACGCCGCGUGAAGGACGAAGGCCUUCGGGUUGUAAACUUCGAUAAAGCACCGGCAAACUACGUGCCAGCAGCAGCGGUCAUACGUAGGGUGCAAGCGUUGUCCGGAUUUAUUGGGCGUAAAGAGUUCUGUAGGCGGUUGCGUAAGUUGGAAGUUAAAUCCUCCCGCUCAACGGGAGACCUGCUUUCAAUACUGCGUGACUAGAGACAUCUAGGGGACAGCGGAACCUAUGGUGGAGCAGUGAAAUGCGUUGAUAUCAUAGGGAACACCAAGGGGGUAGCCAGCUGUCUGGGGAUGUACUGACGCUGAGAGACGAAAGCGUGGGCAGAAAAACGGAUUAGAUACCCUGGUAGUC
rnacentral:rRNA from 1 species